ensembl:snoRNA
GGGGUGUGCUCAGAGCAGGGAGCGAGAAGAAGUGGCUCGUCUCUUUACAGCACACUUGACAGGAAUCUGGGCUCAUUGUGACAAGGGGCACAAAAUACCCAACAAAUACCCAACACAC